rnacentral:tRNA from 1 species
UUAGGGUGAAAUCUAUUGAGGAUAUUUCAUUUACGAUGAAAAAGAGUUUGUGACCACUCUAAU